GACGAACGCUGGCGGCGUGCUUAACACAUGCAAGUCGAACGAUGAAGAAGAGAAACGCGAACUUCGGUUCAAAUUUCACUUCGGAUUAGUGGCAGACGGGUGAGUAACGCGUGAGCAACCUACCUCUUACAAAGGGAUAGCCUCGGGAAACCGUGAUUAAUACCAUAUGACACAUUCAUAAGGCAUCUUAAGAAUGUUAAAGCUACGGCGGUAAGAGAUGGGCUCGCGUCCCAUUAGCUAGGUGGUGAGGUAACGGCCCACCAAGGCGACGAUGGGUAACCGGCCUGAGAGGGUGAACGGUCACAUUGGAACUGAGACACGGUCCAAACUCCUACGGGAGGCAGCAGUGGGGAAUAUUGCACAAUGGAGGGAACUCUGAUGCAGCGACGCCGCGUGAGCGAUGAAGGAAUUCGUUUCGUAAAGCUCUGUUCUAUGGGAAGAAAAGGACUGUACCAUAGGAGAAAGCCCCGGCUAAAUACGUG
rnacentral:rRNA from 1 species